AGGGGACAUAUUUUGGAUCAAAACUUUGAUAGUACAGCAUGGGGUGAGGCUUGUGGAAGACUUCCCUACCCCUCCCUCCAUAAUUCACUCACUGGCAAAUGACAUAUUGCUGCCUUGGCAAGAAGUGCUUUUCUUUAUAAGGAAGGUGGCAAUUCUGAUUUAUUUAUGUACUUUGAAUUUUGUAUCUUACCUUUUAACCUCAACAAGGAGUGUCUAUUUAUUUUUUCUUAAUCUGAAGCCCAGCACUUCCGGGCUCUAGACCUUAUGGAUCUUUGCCUUAUCUUUUGUAUUUUUUGGUGUUAGUUGCAAAGCUUUGCGUGAGGGGCAUGGGACUAAUACAUAGACUUGUGGAAAAUAUGGACUGAGCCCAUGUCCAUAUGGGAAAAGAGGUUAACUAGCACUCUUAAACAUCUGCCUUAAUGACCGUACAUCUGUACUUGUAAGGGGAGGGUCUCCAUAUCCCCUUCUUGGCAGUCUAAAGGUUGUAUAUACAGGCAGGUAGCCAUGUUGAUCUGCUGUAAUUGAAACAAAAUAGAAAAAUUCCUUCCAGUAGCACCUUAGAAACCAAAUAAAUUUGUUAUUGGUAUGAGCUUUCGUGUGCAUGCACACUUCUUCAGUUACCAAAGGUUGUAUUGUUACUUAUCUCCUUGGCUCAAGGGUUGCAUAACUCUAUACCCUCCAACAUUCCUCCGAUGAAAACAGGGAUGUCCUAAGGAAAAGUGGGACAUUCCAGGAUCAAAUUAGAAACUGGAAUGGCUUCUGUAAAUCCAGGACUGUCUCUGGAAAAUAAGGAUACUUGGAGGGUCUGUGUUUCUCAUGUUCUAGUUUUUAGAUCUGUUGGUGGUUAUUCAGGUUCGAACAUUUACAGAGUGUAAGGGCGGAAGUCAGAUCACGUAUGUUUCUUGUAUAGCAUAUUUUCUUCGGCAGAGACCAGCCAGGCACCCCUAGAAUGGACAUCGUUGUGAUGGCCAUGGUUUUACUGCUUGUCUCCAGACUCUGCAUCAUGAAUAGCGCAUGAAACCCUCAGAGUUUACCAACCAUUUAAAAUAAAUUAUUAUUAUUAUUAUUAUUAACCGUUGGUAAUCUCUGAGGGCUUCAUGUACUAUUCAUGAUGCAAAGUCCCAGUUCUCCCUCUGUGAUGUAGGGUUUUAGGUUCAAAAAAAGAGAGAGGAUGAGGCCUUCCUUACUUUCUCCCAGAAACAUUUCUUCCAGAAAGCACAGGAGUUGCGUAUUCCUGCUAGAUUGGGACAAACAAAUGUUGAAGGUAGAUGGAAAGUGGAGCUGGGAAGAAUGGCAUUUACUACGUAAUGGAAACCGAGAAUAAAACAUAACGAGCUGGAUUGGAAAACUGUGUGUUUGGCUUAAGGUUGGGGCUGUUAAUAUUUUUAAAAUAAACUCAGAUUUGAAGCCUUGUUUCUUUCUGAGCAAUAAAGAUACCGCUUGGUUAAUUAUUACAUGGGGCUCAGUAAGUUCCUUGAGAAUUUUUCAGCGUUCCUCAUAAACUCUCUUAGUAACAGAGCAGGAUUGCCACAUUCUGCUGUUUCCGUUUCAUAAGAUGAGUGCCACUCUGAUGGUUCUCUUUUUGUUUAAUGCUGCUCUGCUUGGAGAUGCAAAUGACGGCACGGGAGGCCAGCCGGGCUAGGCUUGCUUCCUAGAGUACCUGGCUUGCAAACAGUGUCCCAGAGGACCACGGGCUUCCAUGGUAGGAAGAACUGCAGAUUCGCUGUACCCAUGGUACCAGACCUUCUAGCCUUGCAUCGAAAAGCUAUGGUUGCUAUUUGUUAAAAAUGAACUAUCUGGGCAUGCCAUGGGAUUAAUAAAAAUAAUAAUAUGAGCAGCAGAGUAAGCCAGGAUAUGUCCAGACUCUAGAGAUGGAAGGAUCUGUUAAAUUUUGCUUUCCCAGUUAUUUCUUCCUUCCAGCCUUUUAUUCUAUUCUCCAGAUUCCUGAUACAUUUUAUGAAUUACUUGUUCUUUUUUCUUAUAAAAUCUUCGUGAAAAUUCACCAGCAUUUGAGUGCAAAAUUAUCCAAUUUUUAAUGUAGUUUUCACAAAUGUACACAUGUUUUGCAGUCCAUUUUUCCUAACACAAUGUAUUUUGUAUGUUAUUUUCACUAGUUCUGCUAAUUUUUAUGUGCUAAUUUAAUAGAUGCACUUCUGUAAACAUUUAUUGUUUGGAGAACUCCAUCACAAGAUUCGGGUAAGUCUGGAUUUUGAAAGAUGGCCAUGUCUAGAUUCUCAAGUUUUUUGGGAAAGUGGAUUUUAUAUUCACAUUUAAAGGCAAACUGAACCAAUUCUCCCCCCCCCUUCCAUAGUCUGAGCAUGUAGUAUUUUGAGUUUCCCCCUACUGUCCUAGAAAUCACAGAGGAAGUCCCACUGUCUGAAUAGAGUAUUGCUGUACUUCAGUGAGACAGCUUUGUAUCAUGCUGGCGGGGGAAUGGGGAACUCGCAAGAUCCUGGAUUAAACCCCAUCCAAUUCAGGAAAGAAAUUAUUGGAACCCAUAGAUCACCUGUGACAGCACUGUAUAGACCACAGCCUGGUAGCAUGCAGAUGUUGUUGACCUAUAGAUCCCAUCUUCCCUGACACGUUGGCUGGGGCUGAUAAGAGUUGCAAUCCCCCCCCCCCCAAAUCUGGAGGGGGCACCAGGUUGGGGUAAGCUGGGGUAGACCCAGCUUUAGACAUUGUCAGACCCCAACUCCCAUUAGUCUUAGCAUAGCCAGAGAUGAUGGGAGCUGAAGUUCAACAAAGCUAUAGGAUACUGUGUUAGCUUUCUCAGGUGUAGUCUGUGUAGAGCUAGAUCCUGGACUCAGCUUUGUUCCCUGGUGCUCAUGUGAAGUUGGAUUAGUUUUCUUAAUGAAUAGCAAAGCUGAGGUUCUUGUGUUCCUAUUUUAAUUGGUGUUCAGAUAUUUUUAAUGGAGUAUUUUAGCUGUGCUGAGGUAUAUUGUUAAGGAGUGUCCCUCCCCUCUUUUUUAGAUGGGGGUAGCUACUUGGUGUAGUUCUUUCGAUUGGGAAAGCAAUUUGUGAGUAGAUGCGUCAGAGCUGGUACUUAUUGAUGAAAGUUACUGUUCGGCAAAACAAUGAAAUAAGGUUUUAAUUGUGAGACUUCCUUCUGGACAGAGGCCAUUUGUUCCCAGUGUUGUUGUUCUAGUGUUGUAAAAUCCCACAAAACCAGAGAGUCACGCCAAAAGAAGCAGGACCCUGCAAUCAUGGUGCUUAUUGAAUUAAUUACUACAUUGAGAUCCCACAUAGGAGGUUGACUUGCACUGAGUCAGAUCAUCUAGCUCAUGAGUAGGCAAACUAGGGCCCGUGGGCUGGAUCAGGCCCAAUUGCCUUCUGGAUCUGGCCCCCGGAUGGUCUGGGAAUCACCAUGUGGAUCACCAGCACGCACGUUCUUUCCCUCUCCCUCACACGGUGGCACCAGCGCCUCCUCCCUCCCUCCUCCUGGCUUCUCCCUGACCUGCCUAGAGGAGGAAGGGGGCUGGGCUUUGUUGGUGCCAGCAGUAGCGCUUGAGCGGCCGCCAUUUUCAGCAGCCCCUCUCUGGAGCCCUUUCACGCACUGCUCAGCGUCCCACCGCCAGCCCCUGCCGCUCGCAAGACACAGGUAAGCAGCCACUUGUGGUUGCUUGUGGUGCUCUUGCAUCAUCUUUCCCCAAAAUAUAGUCUGGCCCCCUCACAAGGUCUGAGGGACAGUGGACUGGCCCUCUGCUGAAAAUGUCUGCUGAAUAUUGUCUCAAUAUUGUCUACACUGACUGGUAGUGACUCUCCAGGGUUUCAGACAGGAAGUGCUUCCCAGCCCUACCUAGAGAUGCUGGGAUUGAACAUGGGACCUUCCGCAUGCAAACCACAUGCUCUAUCACUGAGCUGCAGGCUUUCCCAAGGUGGCAUGUGUGGUUUUCUAAGGAGUUCAAGGUAUGUUUGUGGCUCUCUAAAGGUAAAGGUAAAGGGGACCCCUGACCAUUAGGUCCAGUCAUGACCGAUUUUGGGGUUGCGGCGUCAUCUCGCUUUACUGGCCGAGGGAGCCGGCGUACAGCUUCUGGGUCAUGUGGCCAGCAUGACUAAGCCGCUUCUGGAGAAUCAGAGCAGCGCACGGAAACACCGUUUACCUUUCCGCCGGAGUGGUACCUAUUUAUCUACUUGCACUUUGACAUGCUUGGCAGGAGCAGGGACCGAGCAACGGGAGCUCACCCCGUCAUGGGGAUUCGAACUGCCGACCUUCUGAUCGGCAAGUCCUAGGUUCUGUGGUUUAACCCACAGCGCCACCCGCAUCCCGACUUGUGGCUCUUUACCUUCCUAUUAUUUUCCUCACAGCUGCUCCAUGAGUUAGGUUAAGUCCAACCAGUUUGUACAUAAAGUAGUCCACACUAAGUCAUGCAUGCUGUCUGUCCCCCAUGGGAUGUUGCUGUUGUUGUUGUUGUUACAGUCGUACCUUGGAUCCCGAACGCUUUGCAACUCGAACCUUUUGGCUCCUGAAUGCCGCAAACCCGGAAGUGAGUGUUCUGGUUUGCAAACGUUCUUUGGAAGCCAUUCUUUGGAAGCUCCUGCAGCCAAUCGGAAGCCGUGCCUUGGCUGUCGAAUGUUUUUGGGUGUUGAACAGGCUUCUGGAACAGAUUCUGUUUGACAACCAAGGUAUGACUUUAUGUUCAUUUCUACACCACUCUAUAUUUUAAAGAACAAAUCUCAAACCACUUUGCAACACGUUAAAACACAAAAUAAAACAAUCCAGAAUAAAACUUAUUCAAGCUUCAAGGAAAAAUAUUUCGGAUCCUUCUCUAAGUGACAUUUUGCUUUCGCCAGUCGCCAACCCGGCAUCUCCACGUGGCUGCAAUUGGACCCGCAGCAGUUGCAAAAUGUGCCUGGCGCCUGGCUAAUUUCGAAGACUGAAGGGUAAUAAAAUACAAUUUAAAACUCCAAAUACAGCCACACCUUAUAAUAACAC